UAGAGUCUCUCCUGAGCAGACCCAUAACUUCAAUUUUGCCAACAACUGUUUGUCUUCCUGCAUGUCUAAAUACAUCAGCAAUGUCCUCAGUAAAGAUGGUACCAAAACUAAACGUUCGAUCUAACAGUGGAGAUUAUAAUUGGAUCCUUGGUGAUAUGUUUUGGGACAACGACGAUGUUUCUUCCUUGUAGCAAAGGUCCCCAAAUUUCUGGGAUACUGUCAACGAAAGUCAGCGCCGUUUUGAAAACACAGGUUUUUUCGGAUGCCGAAUAAGGCAGCUCUCUCCACUGCCAGCGAAGACGGUUCAUCAUCGCUGAAUGCAGCAGCCUCACACCUAGCCAAACGAAAACCCAACAGGUCGAUGCAGCGGUUUGCAGGCGCGAUGACGUCGUCGUUUAAAGUAAUCGAGUUAUGACAGUUUGUAGAACUAUGGAGAAAGAAUAGACAUGUAUAUGCAAGUACGCAUAUUGCACGUAUUCGUGCAGCGGGAAAGUUGCAGCCCGCGUUGGACUCUACAUCAGCGGUGGGUCACGGAAAUCUGUUGCUGACUAACAUGCUCUUACUCGUCGUCCUUGCAAAACACCGACAUUCGUCACGAAUGCACCGCAGUAUUCUGCAACGGUGCAGUGAAGACUAUACCGCGAAAGUACAAUAAUAAUAAUAACAUACCUAUCUAAUAUACGUGCAUCGAGUGCAACGAACCUGCACAGCUUCGAUACGAGCAAAGCAGCGGAUCGCCGGCGUAUGAUACAUUGUUUUCGAAAGAUGUGCGCAUGAGGAUGAAUUUCAUCUGCAGGGCGUCUCAUUUUUUUCCUUUUCGUUUCUCCUUUAAAUCUUAUGACCUCUAUGAAAUGUUAUGUCAAUAACAUACGCAGGUUUUACGAAUUUAUGUACUCAUGGGAUGGGAAACACUCAAUGUGAUGUUGUAGGAACGCGAAAUUCGAUCGAAAUAUGUCGCGUUUCGUAUAAGUUGGAGCAGGCAUAAGUCACCAUUUUGCAGAAAUGAUCAAUGUAACGUAAUCUGGGGCCAUUUUCCUCAUCGCUGUGUAUCGAAAUCGCUGUUUAAAUUAUUUAUUGCAUCGAGUUGAGAUCGGGUGCAACGGUUCUGAAAUAUUGAGAUGUAGAAAAUUUUGAAAAUUUUCCAAUUUUGAUUCGAUAAAAUUAGUAAAAUAAUAGCUGCGGUUACAAUAAUUGAUGAUCACCGAAUCUGCUGACCUUAAAAACUCCUAGAUUGUAAUCCGACUGUCGGUACCUGUAUUUUUUCGGAUUAUUCGUUGUUACUAGCCUUCGCAUUCGUACACGAGUGCAUACAUAUAUCAUGACCACCAUUUUGAAUUUCGCAAUGCAUCGAAAUCAGAGUCCAAUUAUUCAUCGAUCAAGGGUAUAAAAAAUAUAUCCUCGGACCAAAAAUCAUGUUCCUUUGUAACUCAUACAAUUUUUAAACAAGGCACCCGGUACACGUAAUAUUUUCCUUCACCAACGCACUUUAGUAUGCAUUUCCUACAUGCACGGAAUAAAAUUAUUAUGAUACGGACGACGCAUUCACCAACUGAUUCGUUAAUAAGUAGCAACUUAUAUACCUACAUCCCUUAAUUUACGUGAUAUACGCUUAAAGAGUUCAAUUCUGUAACUACAUAUAUCUCGUAUCAUAGAUGUAAAAAAAAUUGCAACGUAGCGAACAAUCCGACCAAUGAAAAGAAUUCGUUGUUACAAGAAAUAUUCUCUCCAAUUCGUAAUUUUUUGAUUUUCUCUCCGACGAUUGCAUAUUACAGAUCUAUGAUCGUGAACUUCGAUGGUGUUCGGAAUUGAAUAAAAUUCUCGCGAUUGUCAGCCACAUUAGAUAAAGUCAUAUUAUAAAUGAUUAAUUGUAUAAAUAUAUAUGCGUUUAUUGAUAUUAAUGCAACCUUCUGAAGAUCUACACUUAACAAUUACACCUCCCAGCGAGAGACCUUCGAACGAUGAAAUCGACAGAUUUAUCUCAUAUGCCCCAUAAAUAAGAAACUAUCAACUAUAGGUGUGUACUGCUGUGUACCGAAGGCAAAAAAAAACAAACAUAAAUAAUUUUGAGGACUAGGAAUAACGUGAAUAAUCAAACAGAUAAAAUCAAGGGAAAAUGUACGUAACAAAUAUAGUUAAUUAAUACGAAAAGUUGAGAAUUGAAAUUGACGAAGAGGGGAUAAUUUUUUAAUUUUCAAAUCAAAUUCUAUUUUAAUCAUAAUUCAUAUAAAUAUAUAUUCUCAAU